CGCUUUUUUUUUUUUUUUUAACUCCGUCCCCUCCGACACGUAGCCAACACCCACACACAAUGUUUUUCCCUUUUCAAAGGAGGAGGGCUGUUAGUGCUGGACCUUCCAGCUUUUCCUUCGUCACACCACCAGUCGGCUGUUUCUGCCCUUCAAGUUUCUUAUUUUUUUUCUUUGGAAAUUCUCAUUCGUUAUUUAGAAUGAAAAAAAAAAAGAUUUCAGUUUGACCGUGCUGGAAUAACACAAGAUACUAGUCGAGAAGGGGGGAAACAUAGGCUGGACUGUACGGCAGGGAAGUAGAAACGCAAAAGGCAAAUCGGGCGUCGGGAAUGAACAGUGUAGUCUCAGGAGGAUUUGAGCGCUCUCGUGUAACUCGACCUCCUGCUUACAACAACAACGAAAAUGGGAUUCCUUUUCGUUAUUUUCUUUUUUGUUUCAAUCAGUGGCUGUAACCCGGAGACAAAAGAACGAUAAGUCUCUUUCGUGAGUUUGGAAGCGCCUCCGGAGCAAUCACGACGCUGCACACGCCGACGGUGAUGACAGAAACAAAACAAAAAACAAAACAAAAGAAGAUGACACGCCAAGAUAUCCGGGCGGCCAUUCCGCGCUUUUUUCCUUCUUCUUGCGGUGUCUCUCGGUAUCUACAGGCCUCGGUAGCGCACGUUCCAACCGACGAGUUUACGAUGACAGCAAUGGCCCAUUAUCACGUCGUGAAAGAAAAGAGUAGACACACAGUAAAAAAAAAGAAAAGAAAAGGGGUCGGCGAGAACGGGGUCUUUUCCCCUUUUUUUGACCGCCAUCUUGGCUAUAUGACCCUAUGACGUCACGAGUCGAACUGAGUCUACCUAACACCAUUCACCAACUUGGGUAGAGGAAAUUCUCCAUAAAAACUCGAUGGAGACUGUAGAGAGAGACGAUUGGACGCAACACCUUUUUUUUUUAUUGGUCCCUUAUCAUAACUGUGUGCGAUGGCUCCAUAAACUGGCAAACCACAUCGGUUACGUAACGUAACCGUCAGCUAUAUUGCAUCUAUAUAACUAGUCAGUGGUGGCUAUAAAAAAAAAGGACGGACUUCAUGAAGAAGGCCAGCUAAAAAAAAGAAAACAAAAGAGAUAUCCAAAUGACGGUGUUUCCCCGCGACCUUGUCCUCCAUUUUUUUUUUAUUGCGUUUCGUCUUUAAAGGGCGAAACCACGUGGACUUGUCACAAGAAUUUCUCCGCUUGACACAUCAUUCGUUAAACGAUAUCGUUACGCAACAAAGUUAAAGGGCCAGCCAUCCGAUAAGAAAUUGCACACACACACACACACACACACAUUCUUCAAGAAGCCUAAACUUGAUCGUUAUAGCGUUACAUUUCUUUACAGGUUAAAAUAGAUCCAGAUGGAUUUGCAGAGAGCCGAGGAUGAAGGACGAGACUUAUAACUAGUUCAGCUAGCGGCCACCACAACUGCGGGGGGAGGAGAUGAAGAUGGGGCUGUACAUACACGAUCGAACCCAACAUCCGCAAGUCCCUCCGCGUUGGAUGCGCUCAACGGAGGCCGGACGAAAAUACAUCAGGACGGCUACUUUUCAAUGCGAGACGUCGCCAGGGAGUCGUAAAUUCACCGCCGUUUAAUGAGCUCGAAAUAUGUGGGCAUCUGCAGAAACGAAUUGGUUUUGUUUUUGUUUUUUGUUUUUUGUCUUUUUUGGAACAGGAAAAAGAAAGCGACGCGCAAUGACACGAUUCUUGGCUUCUGUUAUACGCUUUGCUUUUCAAGUUAUUUCCGAUUCACAUAUAUUCGCACAUAUACCCCACACCAUUUACUGUGUUUUGAUUCGAAGGCUUCGUGUUGUUUUUGUUUUACGAAAUUUUCAAACUUCUUACGUGGGCUGAAGGGAACUUUGACAUCUCGAAUUCUAACAAAUGUUUACUUACAAUACCGCCAGAAAGCAGGUUGAAAAUCAACAAAAUGGUAUUAAAUUUGGACAACAGAUAGCGUAUGCUGUCAGAAUCCCGAAUUGAUUCUCCAUUUUCCCAUUCAAUGUGAAGUACUAAAAUUUGAAAUUAAUUAAUCGUUAAAUUCAAAGCCACUAGUAUUUUUGUUUGCCACAAAAAGCCCAACUGAUUGUCCGUAAGACUGAAUAAAAAAUUUUUGUCAAAACUUUACGUUAUCUCAAAUGUAAAAAAUAAACGCACAAGAAAUUGA